UCCCUGGCAGUCCAGUGGUUGGGACUCUGCGCUUUCAUUGCAGGGGGCCUGGGUUCGAUCCCUAGUUGGGGAA
rnacentral:tRNA from 1 species